UUAACAAUUGAAAUUUUCACGGAGGCGUAUUCUUCAGCUCUAGCUCAAGCCCGCGUUUCCUACAUUCUCCAAACAUGCCUCGCGGUGGUUCUGGUGGUGAGCUCUCUCGACCUCGCCAAGAUUUAGCAUUUAUGCGAAGAGCAGGUCGUUCAGCUCCACCACGAGCUCGUAAACCCCCUCAGCCAGUUUAUCAUCCUCCUCCUCCAGCUCCUGUUCAAACUGGCGAUGAUAGAUCAUUCCUUGGUACCG